GAGUUUGAUCGUGGCUCAGAUUGAACGCUGGCGGCAUGCCUUACACAUGCAAGUCGAACGGCAGCAUGAUCUAGCUUGCUAGAUUGAUGGCGAGUGGCGAACGGGUGAGUAAUACAUCGGAACGUGCCCUGUAGUGGGGGAUAACUAGUCGAAAGAUUAGCUAAUACCGCAUACGACCUGAGGGUGAAAGUGGGGGACCGCAAGGCCUCAUGCUAUAGGAGCGGCCGAUGUCUGAUUAGCUAGUUGGUGGGGUAAAGGCCCACCAAGGCGACGAUCAGUAGCUGGUCUGAGAGGACGAUCAGCCACACUGGGACUGAGACACAGCCCAGACUCCUACGGGAGGCAGCAGUGGGGAAUUUUGGACAAUGGGCGAAAGCCUGAUCCAGCAAUGCCGCGUGUGUGAAGAAGGCCU
rnacentral:rRNA from 1 species